rnacentral:tRNA from 3 species
GUUGUAGCUCAGUUGGUUAGAGCGCUGGAUUGUGGUUCCAGAGGUCGCCGGUUCGAACCCGGUCUUC